rnacentral:rRNA from 1 species
UACGAGUGGUGCAAGCGUUAAUCGGAGUUACUGGGCGUAAAGGGCGCGUAGGCGGUUAUAUGAGUGUGAUGUGAAAGCCCCGGGCUUAACCUGGGAAGUGCAUCGCAAACGAUAUGACUGGAGUACAAGAGAGGGUGGCGGAAUUUCCGGUGUAGCGGUGAAAUGCGUAGAGAUCGGAAGGAACGUCAAUGGCGAAGGCAGCCACCUGGCUUGAUACUGACGCUGAAGCGCGAAAGCGUGGGGAGCGAACAGG